rnacentral:rRNA from 1 species
CAAUAGCGUAUAUUAAAGUUGUUGCAGUUAAAAAGCUCGUAGUUGGAUUUCUGGUAGGAGCGACCGUGCCGAACUUGAUUGUUCGAGUAUUGUGUUGUCUUCAGCCAUCCUCGUGGAGAACUUUUCUAACAUUAACUUGUUGGGAUUGGGACCCGCGUCGUUUACUGUGAAAAAAUUAGAGUGUUUAAAGCAGGCAUUAGCUUGAAUACAUUAGCAUGGAAUAAUAAGAUAGGACUUUGGUACUAUUUUGUUGGUUUGCAUACCAAAUUAAUGAUCAACAGGAACAGUUUGAGGAUAUUCGUAUGAACAUGUCAGAGGUGAAAUUCUUGGAUUUUGAUCAGACGAACUACUGCGAAAGCAUUUACCAAGGAUGUUUUCAUUAA